GGGGCCAUAGCUCAGCUGGGAGAGCGCGUCGUUCGCAAUGACGAGGUCAGGUCAGGAGUUCGAUCCUCCUUGGCUCCACCA
rnacentral:tRNA from 1 species